GCAUGCCUUGUUCGAUUUCCGCAGUUAAUAGUGAUUUUUGUGGGAUUAAAGACCGUGUUACCCGCUUACCUUACGCUGGGUAGGAAUGUUGGUGAGUUGCCUUGGCAAUCUAGGACUUUGCACCUCAUGGACACAUGUGGCUAGGAUAACCUCGGGGAAUUAACACACACUCCAAUUAAAUGAUGAUAUCAGUAUCGUCGAUAGACCAAAGAGAUCUACAGACCGUUGAAAAUGUUUUCGAAGAGAGCUGC